rnacentral:rRNA from 1 species
GACGAACGCUGGCGGCGCGCUUAACACAUGCAAGUCGAACGGAAAGGCCUGCUUUCCCUUGUGGAUUGCGGGUACUCGAGUGGCGAACGGGUGAGUAACACGUGAGUGAUCUGCCCCCAACUUGGGUAUAAGCCUGGGAAACUGGGUCUAAUUCCCGAUAGGACUGCAGGGUGGUGCCUGUGGUGGAAAACGAUUUUCUAGUGGUUGGGGAUGAGCCCGCGGCCUAUCAGCUUGUUGGUGGGGUAAUGGCCUACCAAGGCGGCGACGGGUAGCCGGCCUGAGAGGGUGGACGGCCACAUUGGGACUGCGAUACGGCCCAGACUCCUACGGGAGGCAGCAGUGGGGAAUAUUGCACAAUGGGCGGAAGCCUGAUGCAGCGACGCCGCGUGGGGGAUGACGGCCUUCGGGUUGUAAACUCCUUUCGACCGCGAGGAAGCCACCUGGUUGGAAGGGUGGUGACGGUAGUGGUAGAAGAAGCACCGGCUAACUACGUG